GAGUCGGCCUGCGCGGAAGAUGUAACGGGGCUCAAACCACACACCGAAGCUGCGGGUGUCACGUAAGUGACGCGGUAGAGGAGCGUUCUGUAAGCCUGUGAAGGUGAGUUGAGAAGCUUGCUGGAGGUAUCAGAAGUGCGAAUGCUGACAUGAGUAACGACAAUGGGUGUGAAAAACACCCACGCCGAAAGACCAAGGGUUCCUGCGCAACGUUAAUCGACGCAGGGUUAGUCGGUUCCUAAGGCGAGGCUGAAAAGCGUAGUCGAUGGGAAACAGGUUAAUAUUCCUGUACUUCUGGUUACUGCGAUGGAGGGACGGAGAAGGCUAGGCCAGCUUGGCGUUGGUUGUCCAAGUUUAAGGUGGUAGGCUGAAAUCUUAGGUAAAUCCGGGGUUUCAAGGCCGAGAGCUGAUGACGAGUCGUCUUUUAGAUGACGAAGUGGUUGAUGCCAUGCUUCCAAGAA
rnacentral:rRNA from 1 species